rnacentral:rRNA from 1 species
CCUACGGGAGGCAGCAGUGGGGAAUAUUGGGCAAUGGGCGCAAGCCUGACCCAGCAACGCCGCGUGAAGGAAGAAGGCCCUCGGGUUGUAAACUUCUUUUAACAGGGACGAAGAAAGUGACGGUACCAGUUGAAUAAGCCACGGCUAACUACGUGCCACCAGCCGCGGCAAUACGUAGGUGGCAAGCGUUAUCCGGAUUUACUGGGUGUAAAGGGGGUGUAGGCGGGAGAGCAAGUCAGACGUGAAAUUCCAGGGCUCAACCCUGGAACUGCGUUUGAUACUGUUCUUCUUGAGUGAUGGAGAGGAAGGCGGAAUUCAGGGUGUAGCGGUGAAAUGCGUAGAUAUACGGAGGAACACCAGUGGCGAAGGCGGCCUGCUGGACAUUAACUGACGCUGAGGCGCGAAAGCGUGGGGAGCAAACAGGAUUAGAUACCCUGGUAGUC